ensembl:lncRNA
AUGACACUGUUAAGAAAACAAAAAGAGGCCCUCAGGUUGGAUACAUACAUUCAAUUCAGUGUGGGUCCCACAAGACCAUAAAGCAACGUUGCAUCAAUAGGUUAUAAUGUGUAUAAUACUGCAGCAGCAGGAAGCACAGACUGCUGUGAGAUUCUAAUAGCCUCCUGGAUGUGAAAACAGAUUUCAUCUCCAAACUGCUACAAUAAAAUCCACUUUCAUAAUGCAGACUGAGCCCUGAUAAGCCUUUAUUUUAAGUUCUUGUGACUGGACUGGGCUGUGUUCAGGCUACUUUUAAUGGCCCUGUU